CUCUGGAGUUAGCCAUGCUCAUACCCCGGCGCGGGAAAGCGACACCCCAGUGCGGGUAGCUUUAGCCCCGGAAAUGGGUUGAGAAUUGAACACCGAGCCGACGCCCACAUACGUAGCAGCGUUGCAGCCCGGGAGGGUGGGCGGUACCCCGAGGUCGGUCAUCCGCGGGUGGGCGCCGGGCCCCGACCCCGUUCGCCAUCACCAGACCCAGAGAGGGGACUGCAGAGGUUCAGCCCCCUACCGGGAAGCGGGGACCACAUCUUCCUUUGGGGAUGGUGGGAAGGGGACCCCUUCCAGGGCCCGAGAGUGAGCUCUUGUCUAACACUUGGAAAUGAACUGUCCGAGGAGACACACGUGCUGACAAGCAAGAGACUUUGUUGGGAAGAGGUGCCCGGCUGGAGAGCAGCAGAGCUGUACCGCGUCUUAGUUGCAACAUGCAGGAUCUUCGUCGCGGCACGC